rnacentral:rRNA from 1 species
ACAGAGGUCCCGAGCGUUGUUCGGAUUCACUGGGCGUAAAGGGUGCGUAGGUGGCUUGAAAAGUUUGAUGUGAAAGCUCAGGGCUUAACCCUGAAAUGGCAUUGAAUACUGUCGAGCUGGAGGUUUGGAGGGGGGACUGGAAUUCUUGGUGUAGCAGUGAAAUGCGUAGAUAUCAAGAGGAACACCAGUGGCGAAGGCGAGUCCCUGGACAACACCUGACACUGAGGCACGAAAGCUAGGGGAGCAAACAGGA